rnacentral:lncRNA from 1 species
GUGGGACCUAAUCCAAUGUGACUUUAUAAGAAGAGGAGUCUAAGACACAGUCUGUAAUAUGCAAAUAGAAGAAAGCAAGAAAGAACUAUAAGAUGUGCAAGAACAACGAAAAGGUGAAUGGGAAAACAGACUUUAGGGCAGGAAGAACUGUGGUGUCAAUGACAGGAAAAUGAACAUGCACUCAGCAAAUGUCCAGAAUCCCAGGCUAAUGAGAUUAUUUGCAGGCAGAAGGGAAAGGAAAGAGGAAAGAAAGGAGCGAUCACAGAGGAAGGGAAGGAGGCCACGUGAAGAUGGAGGUUGAGA